UACGAAGGGGGCUAGCGUUGCUCGGAAUUACUGGGCGUAAAGGGAGCGUAGGCGGGUUAUCAAGUUGGGGGUGAAAGCCCGGGGCUCAACCUCGGAAUUGCCUUCAAAACUGAUAACCUGGAGUAUGGAAGAGGUAAGUGGAACUCCGAGUGUAGAGGUGAAAUUCGUAGAUAUUCGGAAGAACACCAGUGGCGAAGGCGACUUACUGGUCCAUUACUGACGCUGAGGC
rnacentral:rRNA from 1 species